rnacentral:rRNA from 1 species
UACGGGGGGGGGUAAGCGUUGUUCGGAAUUACUGGGCGUAAAGGGCUCGUAGGCGGCCAACUAAGUCGGACGUGAAAUCCCUCAGCUUAACUGGGGAACUGCGUCCGAUACUGGAUGGCUUGGAUUUGGGAGAGGGAUGCGGAAUUCCAGGUGUAGCGGUGAAAUGCGUAGAUAUCUGGAGGAACACCGGUGGCGAAGGCGGCAUCCUGGACCAAUAUUGACGCUGAGGUGCGAAAGCGUGGGGAGCAAACAGG